AGUGAACACUGGCGGUAGGCCUAACACAUGCAAGUCGAACGGCAGCACAGUAAGAGCUUGCUCUUACGGGUGGCGAGUGGCGGACGGGUGAGGAAUACAUCGGAAUCUACUUUUUCGUGGGGGAUAACGUAGGGAAACUUACGCUAAUACCGCAUACGACCUACGGGUGAAAGUAGGGGAUCUUCGGACCUUGCGCGAUUGAAUGAGCCGAUGUCGGAUUAGCUAGUUGGCGGGGUAAAGGCCCACCAAGGCGACGAUCCGUAGCUGGUCUGAGAGGAUGAUCAGCCACACUGGAACUGAGACACGGUCCAGACUCCUACGGGAGGCAGCAGUGGGGAAUAUUGGACAAUGGGCGCAAGCCUGAUCCAGCCAUACCGCGUGGGUGAAGAAGGCCUUCGGGUUGUAAAGCCCUUUUGUUGGGAAAGAAAAGCAGCAGGUUAAUACCCCGCUGUUCUGACGGUACCCAAAGAAUAAGCACCGGCUAACUUCGUG
rnacentral:rRNA from 1 species